rnacentral:lncRNA from 1 species
UUUUGUGUGUGUGUGUAGAAAGACCUUUAAUACUUCUGUUUACAAAAUUCAGGCAUACAUUUCAGUUUGCCCUGACCCGUGCCCAGGGCUGUGUGCUCAUCUCUGCCAGGAUGUCUGUGCCCUCAUGUACUGCUGACGAGGAGGGUGCAGAGCAGAGCCUGGGGUCUGGAGGCUUCGCUGGGCCUCAGGGGGAGGGGAAUGUGAAUGUGGCCCAGCCCAGAGGACCCUCCAUUUCAUCAAUUUUGGAUUGGGCAACAGAGGAAGCAGAUGUCUGGGCUGCAGACCUGCUGGUCUGGGCAGGGGUUUGGGAACCCCAGGGUUGCCUGCCAUGGUCUAGAGGAGAUGGCUGCGGCUACUUCCCACAGGGUGGGGUGGCAGAAGCUCGGCAAGGGGAGGCCUGGCCACUAGGGGCUUGAAGAUUUGCUCACUGGAGCCUUUGUGCUUGGCCCUCAGCAGCACAGCUGGGGCUGUGGUCCCGUGCAAGGUGUGCUGAGGGUUGUGUAGGUGGCUGGUGGUGGCAGCUUGUGCCAGAGUGACACAGGCUUCCGUGGGCCUGGCUGGGGGCAGUUAAAAAGCCGAAAAGGUACUUGGCUUUGUGAGGGCAAGGCUUGGGAGGCGGGGCCCUGCAGGACGUCAUGUUCUCUGUCCUGGUUAGGAGGGGGGAGGUGGGGGGGGGGAAGGUGGGGCAGAUCCCAACUGGCCCCUGUCCCUGGGCUGCAAGCUGACAGCAGGCCAGGGAAGCAGUGAGGCCCUCUGCCCUGGCCUUGGGGAGAAGGAGUGCAUGUGUGAGGCUGGGAUACAGUGGCCCUGGAGUGGGGCUAGGGCUCAUCGCCAGCACCAGGCGCGGGGAGGAUUUAAAACCAGAGUCCUGUCUCUGAGCCACCCCACAGGGACGCUUGAUCCAAGCCUGUUAAGGCCGUGGAACUCGAGGGUAGGCAGUGGGCUGGGCCACCGUGGGUCAGGAUGGAGGUGUGGGGGCUGCCCUGGAGGAACAUUAGUGUUUCUGAGAGCACCUUAGUGUUGCUCUGCCUCAGCCAGCUGGGCGAGGAGUUGGGGAGUGGGCAGGAGGCCGGCGCCAUGGAGUGGGGAAGGGAGCCGUCACCGUUGGGGAUCAGCCGCUAGUGUAAACAAGUGUCUCCACCCACCCAGAUAAGCCCCCCACCCAAGUGUGGGGCCCUGCUCAGGGAGUACCUCAAGGGCCCCGGCCUGGGUGGCGCCAGCAGGCUUGGACACUGCCCUGGCAGCAGGGGCCCCGUGGAAGGCAGGAUACCCAGCAGGGGGUGCCACCCAGUGUGGAUGGAGGGGCAGGGUGGGGGCGCCCCUGAGUCACUGGGCAGAGGCACGAGCACGUCCACAUAGCUGAGCAGGAAGAAGCCCGACUGGCCAUCCAGCAUGCCGUCCUAUCAGUUCUCGUUCAUCUGGUUGAUCAGCAUGAAGACAUCGCCCUCAUGGAAGCCCAGCUCCCUAUCUUUCUCCGGCUCCAAGUCAUACAGCCUUUGCAGCUCGGCUGGUCUAGGGGCGGCAUGCUCCUGCUAGGAGUCCAGAUGGACUUGUCGUAAGAUCGGAAAGAGGACGAAGCUGCGAUCUUGGGGACUGUGGUGCAGGGGAAGCCCCGGUUGGACUGCUCAGGCUUUCCGAGGUCAAAGCACUCCCGGGGCUUGGGCUUAUACUCCCGCCUGGGUCGUGAGGAAGCUUCCCGGAUCCUGCACUUGAGCUUCUGGGCCAGCUCGUCCAGGAUCUGCACGACCUGCCGGUGGUAGUCCAGCUGCGCCUCCGCCAAGGCCGGGAGUUGACUCACCUACUGGAUGUCGGUCUCCAGGAGGUUGUGCAUGCUGGUUUCUGCCACCUCCUUGGACUCCUCAAACUUCUGCAGCGCCUGGUGCAGCUCCUCUUCGGGGAUCUUGCCCUGCCGCUUCUUUUAGUCAAAGUCCAGGCGGCGGCCCUCCAGCUUCUGCAGGUGGUGCUGGAUCUCCUUCAGGUCUUUCUCACAUAGGUUCUGGAGGGGGUCAAUGAAGUUAUGCUUGACCUCUAUGUCCAGGGAGUCCUUCACCUCUGCCAGGUGCUUCAUGGGCUCGCCGGCAUCCAGCAGUGCAUCGCUGAAGUUGGACUCGUCGCGCAGCUCCUUCCCAUGGCGGAUCAGGCACUCGCCCAGGAGCCCCCCUGACUGCAGGUAGCCGGGGUUCUUCACCUGGCCCCGGAUCUUGCACGCUGUGUUGUGCAUGGUCAGUUUAGCCUGCGAGGCUGGGUUGGGCUGCGGGUACUCGAUGGUCCUGGCCAGCACUUAGGUCACCGCCUUGCUGAUGACAUCCACCUUCUUCUCCAUCUCUUUGAAGUCAUCAUCCAGCUUGGUCCCCUCAGCCCCUCCGACCUUCUCACUGACCAGUUGGCUCGCCUUGUAGAACUGCUUCUUCAGCCCGGCAACCGACAUGCUGCCUCCUGCCGCGGAACCUUCCGCCCAGACCCCCCUGCCCAGACCCCGCCAGCGACAGGCUCCCGGGCACCACCAACCCUCUGCGCGCCUCAGCGGCCCCCAUCAGCACCGCCUCCACCACCCGCUUGCCAGCUCGGCGCCCGUCCCGGCGCCGCCUCAAGUUCAUGAUUCUUUAGUCUCCUUCAAUCUAGAUCUGUUCCCAGGAUUGUUUAAAAGCAUACUGACAAACCUUUGAGACUGUAAAUGACCUGAGGUAUACAUUGUCUUUACUUGAGAAUAGUAAUUUUUCAAUAUGCAUUAAAGAUCAUUACACAUGAGCUAAGACAAA